rnacentral:rRNA from 1 species
UACGUAGGGUGCGAGCGUUAAUCGGAUUUACUGGGCGUAAAGCGUGCGCAGGCGGCCCGUUAAGACAGGUGUGAAAUCCCUGGGCUCAACCUAGGAAUUGCGCUUGUGACUGGCGGGCUCGAGUACGGUAGAGGGGGGUGGAAUUCCUGGUGUAGCAGUGAAAUGCGUAGAGAUCAGGAGGAACACCGACGGCGAAGGCAGCCCCCUGGGCCUGUACUGACGCUCAUGCACGAAAGCGUGGGGAGCAAACAGG